rnacentral:rRNA from 1 species
CGACUUACCAACCCUUUGCAAACUCCGAAUACCAGUAAGUACUAUCCGGGAGACACACGGCGGGUGCUAACGUCCGUCGUGGAGAGGGAAACAACCCAGACCGCCAGCUAAGGUCCCAAAGUAUUGCUAAGUGGGAAACGAUGUGGGAAGGCUCAGACAGCUAGGAUGUUGGCUUAGAAGCAGCCAUCAUUUAAAGAAAGCGUAAUAGCUCACUAGUCGAGUCGGCCUGCGCGGAAGAUGUAACGGGGCUAAGCAAUACACCGAAGCUGCGGCAAUGUCUUUUAGACAUUGGGUAGGGGAGCGUUCUGUAAGCCGUUGAAGGUGAAUCGUAAGGUUUGCUGGAGGUAUCAGAAGUGCGAAUGCUGACAUGAGUAACGACAAAGGGGGUGAAAAACCUCCUCGCCGGAAGACCAAGGGUUCCUGUCCAACGUUAAUCGGGGCAGGGUGAGUCGACCCCUAAGGUGAGGCCGAAAGGCGUAAUCGAUGGGAAACGGGUUAAUAUUCCCGUACUUCUGACUAUUGCGAUGGGGGGACGGAGAAGGCUAGGUGGGCCAGGCGACGGUUGUCCUGGUUCAAGUGCGUAGGCUUGAGAGUUAGGUAAAUCCGGCUCUCUCUAAGGCUGAGACACGACGUCGAGCUACUACGGUAGUGAAGUCAUUGAUGCCAUGCUUCCAGGAAAAGCCUCUAAGCUUCAGAUAGUCAGGAAUCGUACCCCAAACCGACACAGGUGGUCGGGUAGAGAAUACCAAGGCGCUUGAGAGAACUCGGGUGAAGGAACUAGGCAAAAUGGUACCGUAACUUCGGGAGAAGGUACGCUCUUGAUGGUGAAGUCCCUCGCGGAUGGAGCUGACGAGAGUCGCAGAUACCAGGUGGCUGCAACUGUUUAUUAAAAACACAGCACUGUGCAAAAUCGCAAGAUGACGUAUACGGUGUGACGCCUGCCCGGUGCCGGAAGGUUAAUUGAUGGGGUUAGCGCAAGCGAAGCUCUUGAUCGAAGCCCCGGUAAACGGCGGCCGUAACUAUAACGGUCCUAAGGUAGCGAAAUUCCUUGUCGGGUAAGUUCCGACCUGCACGAAUGGCGUAAUGAUGGCCACGCUGUCUCCACCCGAGACUCAGUGAAAUUGAAAUCGCUGUGAAGAUGCAGUGUACCCGCGGCUAGACGGAAAGACCCCGUGAACCUUUACUACAGCUUGGCACUGAACAUUGAACCUACAUGUGUAGGAUAGGUGGGAGGCUAUGAAGACGUGACGCCAGUUGCGUUGGAGCCGUCCUUGAAAUACCACCCUUGUAUGU